rnacentral:rRNA from 1 species
GAUGAACGCUGGCGGCGUGCCUAAUACAUGCAAGUCGAGCGAACAGACGAGGAGCUUGCUCCUCUGAUGUUAGCGGCGGACGAGUGAGUAACACGUGGAUAACCUACCUAUAAGACUGGGAUAACUUCGGGAAACCGGAGCUAAUACCGGAUAACAUGUUGAACCGCAUGGUUCAACAGUGAAAGACGGUCUUGCUGUCACUUAUAGAUGGAUCCGCGCCGCAUUAGCUAGUUGGUAAGGUAACGGCUUACCAAGGCAACGAUGCGUAGCCGACCUGAGAGGGUGAUCGGCCACACUGGAACUGAGACACGGUCCAGACUCCUACGGGAGGCAGCAGUAGGGAAUCUUCCGCAAUGGGCGAAAGCCUGACGGAGCAACGCCGCGUGAGUGAAGAAGGUCUUCGGAUCGUAAAACUCUGUUAUUAGGGAAGAACAAAUGUGUAAGUAACUAUGCACGUCUUGACGGUACCUAAUCAGAAAGCCACGGCUAACUACGUG